GCCCCUGUAGUUCAAUGGAUAGAACAAGAGACUCCUAAGCUCUGGAUAUAGGUUCAAUUCCUAUCAGGGGCACAA
rnacentral:tRNA from 1 species